rnacentral:lncRNA from 1 species
UUUAAUUUUUUUCUAAAAAUUUAAAUUGUUUUCUCAACCAUCAUUCCACAGUCAUGAAACUAACAUUAUUUCAAUAUACUUUUUUUUUUAAAAUUGUCACUUAUAUUUAAAUAAAAUGAGAAAAUUAUCAUUUGUAAAUGCUAAAAGUAUGAGAUAAGUUGAAUGAUAGGAAUGACCAAGGGACCGUUUAGUUAAAUAUAAUUAUAAAUACAGUACAAUUAAAUGUGUAUAUAGUUAUUAACUAUAUAAUAAUAAAAUUAAAAUCAAGUUAGUAUCUUGUGAUUUCAUUUUUAUUUUUUCGUCAGUUUUUUUGUUAAUAUUUCGUUAAAUUAUAUACAAAAAAAUUUCAAAUACCUUAUCUAGGUUUAUCAAACACUCACUUUAGUAUGUUUUAGUUUUAACUUUGUCACUGAUUUAAUAAAAAAUAUUAGUAAAAUCGAUAAUAAAAGGAUAAAAAUAAAACGACGGGACACUAAAUUGAUACACUUUAAACCACAUGAUACUAAAAUAAGAAAGUGCGAAACCACAUGGGUAAUAUUUCAAAUUUUUUCUAAUUUUUAAAAUAGCGCAUAGCUCAGAUAAAUUUUAUAUAUUAU